rnacentral:rRNA from 1 species
GACGAACGCUGGCGGCGUGCUUAACACAUGCAAGUCGAACGCUGAAGCUUGGUGCUUGCACUGGGUGGAUGAGUGGCGAACGGGUGAGUAAUACGUGAGUAGCCUGCCCUUGACUCUGGGAUAAGCCUGGGAAACUGGGUCUAAUACUGGAUAUGACAUGCCACUGCAUGGUGGUGUGUGGAAAGGGUUUUACUGGUUUUGGAUGGGCUCACGGCCUAUCAGCUUGUUGGUGGGGUAAUGGCCUACCAAGGCGACGACGGGUAGCCGGCCUGAGAGGGUGACCGGCCACACUGGGACUGAGACACGGCCCAGACUCCUACGGGAGGCAGCAGUGGGGAAUAUUGCACAAUGGGCGGAAGCCUGAUGCAGCGACGCCGCGUGAGGGAUGACGGCCUUCGGGUUGUAAACCUCUUUCAGCACGGAAGAAGCGAGAGUGACGGUACGUGCAGAAGAAGCGCCGGCUAACUACGUG